rnacentral:rRNA from 1 species
CCUACGGGUGGCAGCAGUGGGGGAUAUUGCACAAUGGGGGGAACCCUGAUGCAGCGACGCCGCGUGGGUGAAGAAGCGCCUCGGCGCGUAAAGCCCUGUCAGCAGGGAAGAAAAUGACGGUACCUGAAGAAGAAGCCCCGGCUAACUACGUGCCAGCAGCCGCGGUAAUACGUAGGGGGCAAGCGUUAUCCGGAUUUACUGGGUGUAAAGGGAGCGUAGACGGCUGUGCAAGUCUGAAGUGAAAGCCCAGGGCUCAACCCUGGGACUGCUUUGGAAACUGUGGAGCUAGAGUGCUGGAGAGGUAAGUGGAAUUCCUAGUGUAGCGGUGAAAUGCGUAGAUAUUAGGAGGAACACCAGUGGCGAAGGCGGCUUACUGGACAGUAACUGACGUUGAGGCUCGAAAGCGUGGGGAGCAAACAGGAUUAGAUACCCCAGUAGUC